rnacentral:lncRNA from 1 species
AUCCUCCCUCAUGAAAUGUGGAACUAGAUAUUUCACAAUUAAGGGGAAAGAAAAGGGGACAAACACAUGCUAGCAUUCUGUAAACGGUUCUCGUUUUUGCUUGUUGGCCUUGGUGUUCUACAAACUCAUCCAUCUAUGCUUCCUGAGACUUGCAAAGUAUUUGUAGAUGCUUUCUUUUGUCCCAAACUCUGGCAAAAGGUGACUAUUUGGAGGGGUUGCAUUUUCCUGAAUGAAUUUGGUUAGUAAAUUGGUGCAAAAGCUGUUCCAGUUCUUAGAGAUAUAGAGUCGGUGGAAAUAUGGCAGAAGGCGUUCGGCUGGAACAGUUUCUUAGUCUUUCAAAUUGUCAAAUCAUGUCUGCUUGUGCAGAAGUGGUCCACCUGCUUCAAAGUACCACAAUAGAUACUUCUUUAUCUAGUGUGCCCGUAAUUGACAUAUAUAUAUAAAAGAAUUAGAUUGGAAUUGUUUUGAGGGCGUGUAUUGAUCUGAUAGUUGCCCCAGUGUGAUUUGCUUGUAUAAUCUUAGUUAAUUCAUUUCCUCAAACAAAACUUUAGUUAAUUCAUAAUAUAUAUAUAUAUAGUUUACUGCUGCAAAAUUCGAUCCAGUAAACAAAUUUUCCCGAUCAUAACAACAGUCGGGAACUUUAUUGUUAGUUAAUUGGCCACCGAUUAUAUACUCUGUCGAAAAUUUACAGCAGCUCGUUCAUUGCUAAAGGAUUAUAUCAGUAAUGUGUUAGGAGUUGUAUAAAAGAUUUAACUUAGACUAUUAUAUCACUAAUGUAUAAAAGUAGA